rfam:Candidatus Roizmanbacteria bacterium RIFCSPHIGHO2_01_FTLL_39_12b rifcsphigho2_01_scaffold_35031, whole genome shotgun sequence.
GAAUUGAUGGAGGAGUAGUGAAAUGCGUUGAUACCAUCAAGAACAUCAGUGGCGAAGGCGGGUUACUGGAAGAUAAUUGACACUGAGAUACGAAAGCUAGGGGAGCAAACCGGAUUAGAGACCCGGGUAGUCCUAGCCGUAAACGAUGCUCGCUAAUUGCAUUUCCUCGAUUUAUCGGAGAAGUGUGGUGAAGCUUAUGCGUUAAGCGAGCCGCCUGGGAAGUACGAUCGCAAGAUUGAAACUCAAAGGAAUUGGCGGGGAGACACACAACCAGUGGAGCAUGUGGUUUAAUUCGAUACAAAACGAAGCACCUCACCAAGGUUUGACAUCUAACUGCACGCCUGAUGAAAGUCAGGUUUCUUCGAGAGUGUUAGACAGCUGCUGCAUGGCUGUCGUCAGUUCGUUCCGUGAGGAGUGCCAUUAAGUUGGACAACGAACGUAACCUCUGCCGUACGUUAUACGUGUCGUACGGGACUGCCUGCGCUCAGCGUGGGAGGAAGGAGGAGCAGACGUCAAGUCAGCAUGGCGCUUAUACCUUGGGCUACACACAUGCUACAAUGAGCCGUAACAAAGAGUUGCAAGCCGGUAACGGCAAGCUAAUCCCAAAAACCGGCUCUCAGUGGGGAUUGAGGUCUGAAAUUCGACCUCAUGAACGCGGAAUUGGUAGUAAUCGCAGGUCAGACAUACUGCGGUGAAUACGUUCUUGUCUCUUGCACACACUGCCCGUCAAGCCAACAAAGUCGGGAGUACCUGAAGGCUCUUCACGGGGACGAGGGUAAACUCGGCGAUGGGGGUUAAGUCGUAAAUUUGUUGCGACCUAUGCUGGUAACGGUAUAGUUAAAUCCAACUGUA